AGAGGGAGCGGAUGCGAUCGCUUCGGGAAUACCGAAGAGGAAAGUCCGGGCUCCGUAGAGCAGGAUGGUCGAUAACGUCGACCGGCCGCAAGGCUAGGGAAAGUGCAACAGAGAGCAGACCGCUGAGGUGACUCAGCAAGGGUGAAACGGUGGGGUAAGAGCCCACCAGAGCGGGCGGUGACGUCCGUUGCUAGGCAAACCCCAUCCGGAGCAAGACCAAACAGGAAGCCGGCCGCAAGGUCAUGCGUUGGCUCGACGCUCGUCGCUUUCGGGUAGGUCGCUCGACGUGCCGAGCAAUCGGCACGCUAGAUAAAUGAUCGCAGCGCAAGCAACAGAACCCGGCUUACGAGCUCCCUCGCAGC
rnacentral:RNase_P_RNA from 2 species